AAGAGAAAAUGAAGCCUUCCUCUAAUGUAUGGAUAUUGAACGAAUGCUAUAAAAUGGCGUUGGACUYCACUGGAAAGGAAAAGGAAAUUUAACUACCUGAGAACUAGGAAAAUGGUGUGUUUUGGACAGCUCCCACCUUAACAAGGACCCAAAUAAAAUCUGAACAUGUGUACUAAAUGGAACAGAAACUGGAAACCUUGGGAAAACUUAAGAAACAUCUUAUUUUGCUAGCAGCACCUCUUCUUGCUCUGAUCAGUUGCAACCAGCUGCKCUUCCAGGAGGUGAUUUUCCA